UUGAAAAUAAGGUUAACUUUUAAUACAAACAUUACUUUUUUUUAGAUCCAUACACAUCUCUGAAAUUGAAGAUGGACGCCUGGUUUCAAGUCGGGUAGUGGUGAUACGCUUUGUUGAGUGUGAGGCAAAUGUGGCCAACAUUAUAGAAAAAGUCAAUUUGGCAAUGGGCAAUGAAGAGUCCUAUAUCCUUACUAACACCCAGGGAAACGAAAUCUUGCAUUCUGAGGGCACAACUGGUUCAUGCUACUGGAGACAAAAUUCCAGAAAGGUCCAUGCAGUGGAAAGGACUGCAUUUAGACAGUGGCAGCAAACCAGGAGUCGCAGAGAUGCUGUAAGCUCUAUUCAAAGCUUAAAAAACCAAAUCGAGGAGCUGAUGGAAGCCUCUCAUGGCCUGGAAAACGUUUCCAGACAAAUUCAAGAAAUUGUGACAAACACGGAGGGAGCAGCACAGAGAGUGAAUGUUAUGACAGUUUUAAAGGAGACUUUCAUGUGCUUAAUUUGCCGAGCAAUCAUGGAACAACCAGUCUUCACGACAUGCUGCAGGACUGUGGUGGGGUGCAAGAUUUGUUUGGAACAGUGGAGGGAAAAUUCGACCCAGUGCCCAAAAUGUAGAGCGGAAGAUUUUGUAAUAUUAGAUGUUACAGGCCUAUCCCCUCUCCUGGAAACCACCAAAAAUUUGGUGUAAUUUGUUUAUCUGCAAGUUAAAGGAUAAAUGUUCAAUGGAGUUUCGUUUACAGAUUGAUUGUAAAAAUUCUGUUUAAUAUAUUUGUUUAUACUAUGUUAUGUGGAC
rnacentral:lncRNA from 1 species